CACUGACUACUGAAGAAGCUCUUAUGGUGGCUGGAUGUCAGCCUUGACAAUAACAGCCAAGACACAAAAGGAGUCAGAAACAGUCUUUCAUCUUUUACGCUGAGGAGACGAUGUAGUAGCUUUUUCCUCAUUGCUUUUCAAGAGAAGACCGAUAAAAUUUGACUCAUGAAGAGAGAGAGAGGGGAAA